GCUCGAGCCUCUGGAACCCGGUGGGGGGCUGGGGGAGGACUUGUGUUUUUAGGCUUCAAGAGUGAGUAUCCGAGAGACAGAGGCCACAGCCGAUAUCUAUGACCUGUGACCUAGCCUUGGGGUCACCCUUGGAGGAGGGGAGCCAAGACAAACUCCUAGAGAGAGCUGCUGCGCCCACCCGCCCCCCCUCGCCCCCCUCGCCCCCGCCCAGCCCUCGGAAAGGGUCCUGCCAGCCUCCCAGCGACCCGUGUCACAGGCUCCGCCUGCAUGAGGUCCAGGGGCCGCAGCAAACUGGGCAUUUGGACAGCAGGAAAGUGUCCUCAGCUGCGCGGUGGGUGUGGGCAGGGCUGGUUCCUCGGGGAGAGGCGGGGUGCCCGUCUCCCAGGUCCAGAGGGCUGCUGGCGCCCCUCGGCCGGCCCUGAUCCAGGAUGGCCUCAUCUGGAGACCCUUCCCUUUGUGACACCGGCCUAGGCCAGGCGGGUACAUCUCUUGUGGGGCCACCAGUGAAGCCACUACAACCUCCCACACAGACUCUGAUGAAUGUAGGUAUUAGUUGGGAUAUUUGUCUAUUCCAGUAGGUGAUAGACACACACCAGCAAAGAAUCCGGAAGUCCAGCAAGUCCCUCAGCAAGGUUUAUUCACGUACGGUAAACGGCGCAUGUAAAAAUAUACGAUUGAAUGAGCUGAGAUGCGUAGACACCCUGGGACCCUUCGCCACAUUCAGGACAGUGAACAUCUCCAUCAGCCAAAGUCUCUGCAUUUUAUUUUUAUGGUGACGAUGUAGCCAGGACUGAGCGGGGGCCUCCUUCCCACUGUGUAACUGCUGCCUCGUCGGGCUGGGCCUGCCUGUCCGUCAGUCCGUCUCAGGCCCUUAUGACCCUCCUGCUAAAAAUGUGUGUGUGGGGCUUCCGUGGUGGCGCAGUGGUUAAGAAUCCACCUGCCAAUGCAGGGGGCACGGGUUCGAACCCUGGGCCAGGAAGAUCCCACAUGCUGCGGAGCAACUAAGCCCAUGUGCCACAGCUACUGAGCCCGUGUGCUACAACUACUGAAGCCCGCGCGCCUGGAGCCCGUGCUCUUCAACAGGAGAAGCCACCGCAAUGAGAAGCCCGCGCACCGCAACGGAGAGCAGGCCCCGCUCGCCGCAACUGGAGAAAAGCCCACACACAGCAACGAAGAUCCAACGCAGCCAAAAGUAAAUAAAUUUAUAAAAAGUAAAAUAAAAAGACCUGUGUGCCCGUCCCUGUGCACAGCUGCCCGGCUGCUGUAAGAUAACUUCCUGGCAGCGCUACCCGAGCCAAGGGCUGCUUCUCGUCAGAUCUGGCAACGUUCCCACCCGGGGAAGCAGCUGCACCUGCGAUGCCCCACACCCCAGGUGAGGCCCCUCCUGCCCCCGCGUCUGCAGGGCCCCAGGAGGAGCCGCCUCCUCCGGGUGUCCCUGGUCUCCGCUGCGCCUUCAUUUCCUGCCCCCCGAUAUCUGACACCAAAUGCGGGGGGGUCUCCUGAGCUCUGCUCCAGGCCAGCCGGUCCCUUUUCUCGGCAACAAGAGUGAUUUUUCAAGCUCGUGACCCCUGAACUUUGAGGUGGCGCCCACACCCUGGAGUCCAGAAGGGCCCCCUGCCUCUGCAUUGCAUCACCUGAACCCAAGGGUUCUGUGCCUGCUGGGACUCUUCAUAGGGAAGAAACCCCGAACUGGCUGGAGCAGGGCACUGGGUCGAAGGGCAUCCCCCCGACAUUCACACCCACCCAGAGCCUCAGAAUAGGACCUUGUUUGGAGGGAGGGUCUUUAGAGAGGUCAUCCUGCCCCUCGCGCAGUGACAGGGGCAGAGGUGCGGGCCACAGCCACGAGCCAAGGAGCGUGGGCGCCCCAGAAGCUGAAAGGGGCAGGAAGGACCCCCCCUCCGCUGGAGCCGCCGUUGGGAGAUGGCCCUGCGACACCAGCCUCCAGAGCUGACGGGGUGUGAGUUGAUGGUGUUUGCAGCCCCCUAGGCUGUGGUCCUGUUAGGGCAGCCCCGGGAGACCGUGGAAGCAGAGUUCAGAAAAUUACCCCACUCGCAGAAACGAGGCGAAUGGGUGACGUGUGUCCCUUCACGGGGUCACUGUCUAACCAGCCUGCCGGGUGUCGCUCGGCCCGGGAGGGUUGCUUUCUCUGACUUGCCGUUUAUUAUCGACCAGGCCCAGGUGCCACGAAGCUGGAGCUUACCUUGCGGAAAAUAGGAAAAGUGCAGGUGAUUUUCCCCCGUAAACAUGCAGGUGACGUCUGUCUGGCGGAGAAGAUAAGCGAGGUUGUGGCUUUAUUGUCCUGUUAAGACAUUAACCUGACAUCAGUGUUAGACGUUAACUCCUGAGCCCAGCUCAGCAGCCUCGUUCCGGAGCUCCUUCUCUGACUGCACGUGGAUCCGUCAGGGUUUGACAUUCUUCUUUGAACCAGCCUUGCCAUCUAGACUCGUUCACCUUGUUAACGGGUGAGAUAAAAUUCUGACACGUGCUCAGUAUAUAUUUGGCUGAAAGCCUUUUGAAAAUGACACUUAGACAGCAGAAUGUGUUAAAGUGGGAAGAUCAGCUCUUCGUUUCAGGCAAGGGUAGAUCCAGGGACCAGAUGAUGUUAUUAGGAUUUGGAUGAAUUCUCCUUGCUCUUGGGUCUGCUGGCUGCACUCUGGGGCGAGUCACGGUGGCCAGACGACAGCCGGCCGCCCAGGCUCGCGUCCUCCUAGCCGCAGUCCAGUGCGCAGUUCCACUGGCUCUGUCCUGGUGCUCAGGCAGAAGCCUGGGGAUUGUUCUGGUCAGACCUGAUUGGCCAGGCCCCCCGCUGGCCAGGGGUCACCAGGCUCCUACUGGGGCUUAGGUCACA